rnacentral:rRNA from 1 species
AUUAAGUUUAAUUUAAUAUAGGAUCUGCUCAAUGAUUUAUUAAAUAGCUGCAGUAUUUUGACUGUGCAAAGGUAGCAUAAUAAUUAGUCUUUUAAUUGAGGACUUGUAUGAAAGAUUUGAUGAGAAAUAAACUUUAUUAUUUAUAUAAUUAAAACUUUAUUUUUAAGUAAAAAAGCUUAAAUUUUUUAAAGGGACGAUAAGACCCUAUAAAACUUUAUAAAUAUUAUUUUUAAUUUUUUUGGAUUUUAUAUUUAUAUUAUUAUUAAUAUUUAUUUUAUUGGGGUGAUAAAAAAAAUUAAUUAACUUUUUUUAAAAUUUUACAUUACUUAAUGAAUAAUUGAAUUAAAAUUUUUAAUUGAAGGAAAAAGUUACUUUAGGGAUAACAGCGUAAUUAAUUUUUUAAGUUCAAAUUUAAAAAUUAGUUUGCGACCUCGAUGUUGAAUUAAGAUUAAUCUUAGGUGCAAAAUUUUAAGUAUUAGGUCUGUUCGACCUUUAAAUUCUUACGUGA